rnacentral:misc_RNA from 1 species
GAACCUGUCACCCUAGACACAUUUUUAGCAUGGAGGGAAAGAUUUGAAGCAGAGAUUGCACUGGAACGAGCCAAGAUAAUGCCCGAAUCGGCUCUUACUGCACCUAAGGAAAAGAAACUUACUGGCAGGCAGUGGUUUGAGAGUGGACGAGCUUCGGCGAAAGGUGCAGCCCCAGUUACUGAAGGAUCUGACGAAGAAGACGAGGAAGAUAUUGACUUUGAUGAGGAUGAUUUUGAAGACGAUGAGGAAGACAUGCUUGAGCAUUAUCUGGCUGAGAAGUCAGAUUCGUCCUCUCACUCUUCCAGAAGGCCUUAGUUAUAAAUCAGUUCAUUUGCUUCAUUAUAUGAAUGGAUAUCAAAUUUUGGCUUGUAAUCUUAGUUGAAACCAGGAUGACAAUUUUUCCAUUUAUACAACUUUUUUUUAUUCAGU